GUCUGGAUGGGGCCUGAUUCAGAUCCCAUUGAAGUCAAUGAGAAUAUUUCAUUUGAGCUACUGACUUCAGUGGGCUUUGGUUCAGACCCACAGUCACU
rnacentral:ncRNA from 2 species